rnacentral:rRNA from 1 species
UACGUAGGGGGCAAGCGUUGUCCGGAUUUAUUGGGCGUAAAGAGCGUGUAGGCGGCCAUACAGGUCCGUUGUGAAAACUGGAGGCUUAACCUCCAGACGUCGAUGGAAACCGUAUGGCUAGAGUCCGGAAGAGGAGACUGGAAUUCCUGGUGUAGCAGUGAAAUGCGUAGAUAUCAGGAGGAACACCGAUGGCGAAGGCAGGUCUCUGGGCUGACACUGACGCUCAUGCACGAAAGCGUGGGGAGCAAACAGG